CCUUAGAGUUUGAUCCUGGCUCAGAGCGAACGCUGGCGGCGUACUUAACACAUGCAAGUCGAACGAGAAUCGCCUGUGUAGCAAUACACAGGUGGUUCUAGUGGCGCACGGGUGAGUAACACGUGGGCAACCUGCCCUCGAGUCCGGGAUACCCUCUCGAAAGGGAGGCUAAUACUGGAUACGUUCCUCGGGUCGCGAGAUCUGAGGAGGAAAGGCGGCGAAAGCUGCCGCUCUUGGAGGGGCUCGCGGCCUAUCAGCUAGUUGGUGAGGUAACGGCUCACCAAGGCGAUGACGGGUAGCUGGUCUGAGAGGACGACCAGCCACACGGGAACUGAGACACGGUCCCGACUCCUACGGGAGGCAGCAGUGGGGAAUUUUCCGCAAUGGGCGAAAGCCUGACGGAGUGACGCCGCGUGGGGGACGAAGGCCUUCGGGUCGUAAACCCCUGUCAGAGGGAAAGAAGGGUCGCCGACCUAACACGUCGGUGAUCUGACGGUACCUUCAGAGGAAGCCCCGGCCAACUCUGUGCCAGCAGCCGCGGUAAGACAGAGGGGGCAAGCGUUGCUCGGAAUCACUGGGCGUAAAGGGCGCGUAGGCGGGAUGGCAAGUCAGUCGUGAAAUCUCUCGGCUCAACCGAGAAACGUCGGCUGAUACUGCCGUUCUUGAGGGAUGCAGAGGAGACUGGAAUUCCCGGUGUAGCGGUGAAAUGUGUAGAGAUCGGGAGGAACACCGGUGGCGAAGGCGGGUCUCUGGGCAUUUCCUGACGCUGAGGCGCGAAAGCGUGGGGAGCAAACGGGAUUAGAUACCCCGGUAGUCCACGCUGUAAACGAUGACGACUAGGUGUGGGGUGGGUUAGUCCAUUCCGUGCCGCAGCUAACGCAUUAAGUCGUCCGCCUGGGGAGUACGGCCGCAAGGUUGAAACUCAAAGGAAUUGACGG
rnacentral:rRNA from 1 species